UCAUUGGACCCGCAACGAAAUUAAUCAGAAAAAUAAUUAAAUAGGAAAUUGAAUCCCAGGAUGCAUAUACCGACGUGGUGGAGCUGUGUGCGUUGCUGCAAUGCCUGGGCUUCAGCGUGCGUUCGCUGGAGACCAGUGAAGUGAACCUGAGCCAGGAUGUUGGCACCAGGACCGUGGUUAUCAACUGCCAGUCAUCAGGACUGCACGUGGUGCUGGAGAGCCCAGGCCUGGCGUGCUCGUGCCCUGCUACUGACCAGCAGAACAGCGGCGUCUGGCAGGUGUCCGGCGUGACUGGCGGCAAGCAUCUUGAUAAGGAGUUCGGCUGCACCCUCCUCGGAUCUCUCCCGAAACCACACCGUGAACGGUUGACCAAGGAGCUGCGGGAGAUGAUCCGGUGCAUCAAGCAGCACAACGACUCCGACCACGAGAAGAAGAAGGAGUUAAAUAAGUCUACCAGCAUCAUCGAGCUUAACACGCCGGAG